AGAUUUUCUUUAUAUCUUUAGGAAACAUCCAAAGAGUCAAAACUAUUUUCAGAAGCCUUGAUGCACAGCUUCCAUAGCCUUAAGUCGUACUCUGUGGACACUAUGCCAGGGAGGUGGGUUAGUGAGAACUCCCAUGACCUGGCUGUUUGGUAAGACCAAGCAUGGAGUAUGACUUAUGGCAUCUGCUACUACUGACCGGGGGUCAGGCAUUGUAGACGCAGCUUCAAGGCCAUUCUGACAACUAUGCAAUGGCUUGUUGAUGAUUUCUCUUGAGGACCUUUCUGGGCUGGGUUAGAAUGUAUGGAUCUUCUGUUUCCAUUGUCAUGGAUGACAACACUUUUUCCAGCUGUGCCUCUCCUUUCUGCACAAGUCCUCUGCAGUCUAAGCUCUGCUUCCCUGGUUAAUCUGUGGAAUCCAUAUGGGAGGUUAGUGGUGCCCUGGGAGCCAUUUCCCAGCAGAGGCUACAGAGGUGCUAGAAUGGUUUUUGAUAAGGACUCAGUUUUGGACUUGAGUGAUUUGCUUACCAAAUGAGUCAAGAUUACUGUGUGCUUUGUGGAACCAAGAGCUACAGGGACAGCAUUUAUUGAAGACUGUGAAUGACAUCUACGAACACAGUGAAGAGUUUUGGAAAUGGGAUAGAAAUUCAUACUGUAUCCAUUUAGAAAAGGACUUUUGGGGAGGCCAGUUUUGUCAAAAUAAAUCACAUCCUUUAUAUUCAAUAUUUAGCAUCAGAUUUUGAACAAAUUGGCUGGGCAGUUUAGAAGUAAAAGAAGUUGAGUAAAUGAGCUGUCGCUUACAAUGGGUAAGAGCAGUGUCCUUGGCUAUCCAAGGGAAGGGGGUAUUUCUUAAUGUGUGCUCAAAGGUCUGGGAAAUCUGUCCUAGGGAAUUUCCAGUGCCAUAAGCCCACCAUCCCCUCAUCUGCAUGCCCAUCUUCCCUUUGCACUGGGCUUCAGUGCCUCUUGCUUCUGGGUAUGUUGUCCUUGCAAUAGCAGACAUGUUUAGCAGCUGCUUUUAAGGGGUGCAGACUUGCAGGCUGUGUCUUUCCCCUAUAAGUUUGAGGAGUCUGGACAUGCCUUCUGUGCAUCAUGUUGGAGCCCACAGUGGUGCAGGUCUUCACUAAAGGUGACAGGAGCAUUUUGGGCACCAACUCUCUGAGCCUUUGACUCACCACAGCUGUGAGGCAGGGACAGGAACCUCCAGACUGGCAGUUGCUUCCGCCACUUGAAAGGGCGCCCAUGCUAGUCUUAACACUGACUUUGCUCAACUGCCUGCUCUCUGCCUCUCAUUCUCACUCCAGGUGAAUGUCUGCUCUGUCAAGUUUCCCACAAGUGACCAGUUCUGAAACAGUAUAAGUAAUACUGACCAACGUGCACAUGAGGAAACUAAGGACUGCAGCGUUGACUUCCUCAGCAUCUGCAGCCAGUUUGCAUGUGUGUCCUGAGCCUAGGACCUAUAGUCCUCAGCCACAGUCAAGUGUCCAUUUUUCCUGCCUCUGUUUACAUGAUUACUGUUUUGUUUAGCUUAGUGAAUUCACUGCCUGAUACCAGCAGGCAGCCACUUAAGACCUGUCUCAGUACUCUGCUGGCUCUUUCUUCUAGUGUGUAUCCAUUUAAGGCUGGGUGCUACUCAGGUCAUGCUGGGCUCCUAUGUGGUCACCUGAGUGUUAAAUCAGCCUGCAAAAGGUGCCAUGUCUGGCAGGGAUUCAGAGCUCACCAUUAAUCAGGCUACCCCGAUCUCUCCACAAGCCUUUGAUUUAAUGUCUGGAGGUUAGAGGAUGUUUGUCUUGUCAGCUUGGUUUGAUUUUCCACAUCAUUCUCGAAGUCAGACACAUUGCUCUCCCAACACAAAACUCAGUCCUCUGUCAACUUUUAGAAUUACCCUGAGUCAUUUAGUGUUGGUUUGAAGUAGACUUGAGUUAAAAACAGCUCAGGAUGCAGCUGUGCAGUUUCAUUGGUGAGAGAAAUGUGGUUGCCAGGCUGUCGUGACUAAAUGUGAUGUUUUUGUCUGUUAUUAGGUAAAGUCUUGUGUCCUGGCUUUCAGAAGUUCCAUGGUUAAUAGUGACAUUGCCGUGGUGUAUUAUUCUUUUUCCAAAUUAAAAUGCCUGCUUCUCACAGUGAUUGACUUCCCAGGCACAGAUCUUGCCAAGAGGAGGGUGGUCCUGGAAUGACCUGUCAGGGAACUGGGACCAGGAGCCGACAGAGGGGAGCAGUGCUCUACAAACAUUUGAUAAGGUCACAUUUCUCACCAGCCCGUUUGUGGGUGCACUGUUCAGCUUCUCAUGGUAUCAAGAAAACUGAAGCAUUUCAAAUUGUAGCUUUUUUGCUUGAAAGUAUUUCUGCUGGGCCUUAACCCUGUUCCUUGUCCAUCACAGCAUUUGGGGAACUGUCGCCAUGUGUUUCAUAAGGCUUCCCCUAAAAAGGUAGUAGAGAGUAUAGGAGCGCAAGAGUGCUGUCAUCUCUUGGUCAGGUGUUGAGGGACACAUGUCAGCACUCGAAGCUGUAGUCAGCAGGUGGUUCAUGUGUCAUCCCUGACCCUUCAUCAGGAUGAUAGGAGACAUGUAAUUACAAUUGUAUUUAACACAGCUACUCCCCAUGGCAUCAGGUUAUGGUUUCCGAUUUCUGCAUAUCCCUGCCAUUUAUGACUUGUGCCUCUUUUCUGCAACUCUGAGAACGUGGAUGGAGCUCUAUGGGAAGAUGUGCACCGUGUCCAGAACGAAAACAUUCACUGCCCUCAUUUGAGUUGUUUUUUGUUUGUUUGUUUUGUUGCGGUGUAGGGGUGAAACAUUGUUCAGUAUGUGCUCUAGACUAGCCCUGACACCCACCGACUACCUCCUUAGUUUCUAUAUAGACCCAUUAUCUUUUUUGGGUUAAAGGUCAUUUUUUGGUGACUUAUAGAAAAGAUUUUAAAUGCUGUACCAUGUCACAGUACAGGUCUGUGUUAAUCUGUGACUGCUUUCCCAUGCGGAUUUGGAGAAAUGUGAUAGAAAAUGGUUUUGCACAUACAGUAUGAGUCUUGCUGGUGUGUGUGUUGGAUGUAGCGACACUUGCCAAAACUGCUUGGCAAACACGUCAAGAGGGAUGCUUGAGUCACAACUCUAAUGCAAAUGUGUCGAAACAGCAGUGUGUGUCAUUAUGGUGUAUUUUUGUAAACACGAUGGUGACUUCUUUCAGUUAUACAAGUACUAGAUAAAAAUAACACUUGAAACACUGGAGGAAAAUGUCACUUAGCUGAUCACAGAGCUACUUGCAUUAUCAGCCAGGGCAUCAGUGUGUGUGUGUGUGUGUGUGUGUGUUUACAGGAGAGGGACGAAUUGACAUCAGCAAUGUGGAAGACAAAAAUAAUACCCAUCACCACUUUUUGAAGGGUAAAGUACGUUGGCUCAUGCAAUUACACAUUAGAGGCUGCUUGCACUCUCCAUAGUAUAUUGAAUUUGGAGAAAUGUUGAAAACUGGAAUUAUCAUAUUUAAUGACUGGCUUUGUCAGUCUUGACUAUUUAAGGCAGUAAAUUGCCAAAACUUGGCUUGUGAACUCCCAUAGCUGACUGUAAGGGCUGUGCUCUUACUGAAUCACAGUUUCCCGAACUGCAGUGAAAGUGCAUCUGCUAGUGAGACCCAUUCGAAAACCUGGGACACGCUGAACAGUGGCCCCAGUACAAGUGGCCCAAUGAGCCUCAGCAUGUUGCAGAAUUAUUUGGUCCCAUUGGAAAUCACUCCCGUGGCAAUAGUUAAGUACAGCUACCUAAGUGUAACUCCGGAUUUCCUGUGUGCUAGCUGCUUCAAUAAGCACUUUAAUGUAUCCUUCCUUAUAACCCGCACAGCUGCCCUAAGCUGUCACCGCCCAGGGUGCUCACUGGAGGUCACUUUGAGUUCCAUAAGCAGAAUGACCCUUUCUGUUUGCCCCAGUCAAGCAUAGCACUCAAAGUCUGCCGACACUUUGGAGUGAACUUUUUUUUUUCUUCUGCUACCGAGGGAAAGCUUGUAUUUAUAUCAAUCGCUACAUCUGCUUUGGAAGUACACAGGUGCUUAAUACAAGUAUGUGAAGCUUGGGCCUCCAGGAGUUCCUACAGGGCUGGCAUGAGUUGUGGCCUGUGUGACAUCCUGUAAGGCAGACCAGAAACUCUUAAGGGAAGUGAACACAUCAGAAGUCUAGUUCCCUUCUACUUGUGUUUUAGGUUCCCUGUACAAAGAUGCAGGAACAUAAGAGAAAACUGAAUUUUGUGACUAGAUCCUCUUGGGGAACACCUGGUGAUAGCAAUGGGUAUUGACCAGUGUUCCCAUCUCUGUGUGGCUGGUUUUGCAGCCUCCUGGUAACACUUAAAAUUCAGUGGAACAGGAGGUUUUAACUGACAAUGUCACUGUGAGAAUUGUAGAGGAGAUUAUGUAAAGGAUAUAGUGACCUGUUGAUUUUUGCCCCUGUAGUUUUAGCUUUAACAUCCUUGAGAGCAUGCCAAAGCCACAAGGGGCCCGGCUUGUGCCUCUUAGGAGCAAGCCCUGCUGGAGUCAGGUAGGGAACUCGGUCACUGUCUAGCCUGACCUUGCCCAGGCUAAGCCUCUGCAGAAUGGCAUGUAGCAGCUAACACUGGGGCCAGUUGCCUUUACUCUAUUUUCUAUGAUGAAUACUUG
ensembl:lncRNA